GACGAACGCUGGCGGCGUGCUUAACACAUGCAAGUCGAACGGAAAGGCCCUGCUUUUGUGGGGUGCUCGAGUGGCGAACGGGUGAGUAACACGUGAGUAACCUGCCCUUGACUUUGGGAUAACUUCAGGAAACUGGGGCUAAUACCGGAUAGGCGCUCCUGCUGCAUGGUGGGGGUUGGAAAGUUUCGGCGGUUGGGGAUGGACUCGCGGCUUAUCAGCUUGUUGGUGGGGUAGUGGCUUACCAAGGCUUUGACGGGUAGCCGGCCUGAGAGGGUGACCGGCCACAUUGGGACUGAGAUACGGCCCAGACUCCUACGGGAGGCAGCAGUGGGGAAUAUUGCACAAUGGGCGGAAGCCUGACGCAGCAACGCCGCGUGCGGGAUGACGGCCUUCGGGUUGUAAACCGCUUUCGCCUGUGACGAAGCGUGAGUGACGGUAAUGGGUAAAGAAGCACCGGCUAACUACGUG
rnacentral:rRNA from 1 species